AGGAAAUCCAUUCUUUGCAUAAGAUAAAAACAAUUGCUUGGUGCUUCCUGUUGUUGUGUGCCUUUAAAAGGAGCUGUUUCAGUGAAAUAAAUCAGACUUUUCUUGGUCUCCACUCAGGCUUGAGUGUUCUUUUCUUUCUCAAUCCUUACUCCCCAACUCAGGCAUGUUCAUGUUGUGAUGGCUGGGCUGCCACAAGUGGGGCCCAAACAGGGACCAGAGUAUCGAGGGAUCUAGUGAAGGACACCGUAGAGAAGAAGGAGGCCUCAACAAAAAGCUUGAAGCUGGGUUUCCACUGAGGAGACUGGAUUGGGACCCCAACACUGAAGCAACAGAGAAAACUCUCAGUGCACAACCAGAAAUUUCAUUCCAAAAAGCAUAAUGUGACCAUCUUCUCUUUGGAAAAAGGACAAAAUGGAACUGGUGAGUCCCUGCAAUCCCUUCCCCUGUGUGAGGAAGAGACAAAGGAGAGUAAUAAA
rnacentral:lncRNA from 1 species